UACGUAGGGUGCGAGCGUUAAUCGGAAUUACUGGGCGUAAAGCGCACGUAGGCGGAUUGUUAAGUCGGGGGUGAAAUCCUGGAGCUCAACUCCAGAACUGCCUUCGAUACUGGCGAUCUUGAGUCCGGGAGAGGUGAGUGGAACUCCGAGUGUAGAGGUGAAAUUCGUAGAUAUUCGGAAGAACACCAGUGGCGAAGGCGGCUCACUGGCCCGGUACUGACGCUGAGGUGCGAAAGCGUGGGGAGCAAACAGG
rnacentral:rRNA from 1 species